CGGCUGCUUUCUCGGCAGCCAGACAACAUCGUCCCUUGGCUGCGGUGCCAAGGAGCUGUGCUUCCCAUCAUGAGAAAGAUGAUGCAGAGCCACCUUUCACGUGCUCUUCGGGGCGGAGCUCUCGAUGGUUUUUUCCACUUACAGGAAUGUGUCGGUCCAGCCCUGUGGUUGCUGACUUGGCGUUUAGGCUCUUGUCCUUCCGUAGAGAACCUUACCUUUUUUUUUUUUAGGUGUGCACCUGUCCUAUACACAGGCCAUGGGACCCAGUGACAGAGGACCCCACCCAGCUACGGAGGCUGCCUGGAUGGGUCACAAUGGAUAAAGGUUCUUGCAUUCACCUUUCUGGUCACUGGUUCCGACGCGAUGGUGUAGAUGGAUGAGCUGGGAGAGGAAGGUGUCCGAGAAGGGAUGAUAAGUCAUCACAGAUAACUUCAAGUGUGAAGGAGGAUGUGCGCAGGAUCGAUGCAAAUACUUCCCCACCUCCUAGAAGGGACUGGAGCAUCUGCAGAAUUCGGUAUCUGUGUGGGGCCCUGGAACCAACCCCCCAUGGAUUCAGAGGAACCGCUGUACUCAUUAAUCACAAACGAAGAAGCGAAGGGACUUUAUAGUGGAGACAUCUGGCAGACACCGCUUCAGUCAAAUAAUCAAAAUCAACAUCUCCAGGGAUGAAAGAAAGUGAAAUCUUGUGCCAGAUGAUGACACAUUACACAGUAUCACGUUGUGAUAUUCUGGCUCAUGAUACAAAACCUGAAUCCGAUGAUGAGGAAACACCAGGUUAAAGCCAGACUGUGGGACAUUUGAUAACACAACUAGGAUAUAACCUUUUAAAAUAUCAAGGACAUGAAAGUCAGGGAUCCUGUAAGGGACAUUAUUGGGCAAGCAACAAAACUUUAGCGGAAUCUCCGGAUUCAGAUUUUGGCUUUGUAGGAGAAUGUCUUUGUUCAUACGAAAUAUACACUAAAUUAUUCUCAUGUGUGGGAUUUCAUGUUGACAAAUCACUCUCAAGUAAUCCAUAUAAAUUUUUGUACAGUUCUUAAAGCUUUUCCUUAAUUUAAAA